rnacentral:rRNA from 1 species
GCAAGUCGAGCGGUAGCACAGAGAGCUUGCUCUCGGGUGACGAGCGGCGGACGGGUGAGUAAUGUCUGGGAAACUGCCUGAUGGAGGGGGAUAACUACUGGAAACGGUAGCUAAUACCGCAUAAUGUCGCAAGACCAAAGUGGGGGACCUUCGGGCCUCAUGCCAUCAGAUGUGCCCAGAUGGGAUUAGCUAGUAGGUGAGGUAACGGCUCACCUAGGCGACGAUCCCUAGCUGGUCUGAGAGGAUGACCAGCCACACUGGAACUGAGACACGGUCCAGACUCCUACGGGAGGCAGCAGUGGGGAAUAUUGCACAAUGGGCGCAAGCCUGAUGCAGCCAUGCCGCGUGUGUGAAGAAGGCCUUCGGGUUGUAAAGCACUUUCAGCGGGGAGGAAGGCG